AUUGAACGCUGGCGGCAGGCCUAACACAUGCAAGUCGAACGCGUGGCGGACGGGUGAGUAAUGUCUGGGAAACUGCCUGAUGGAGGGGGAUAACUACUGGCAACGGUAGCUAAUACCGCAUACCAUCGGAUGUGCCCAGAUGCGAUUAGCUAGUAGGUGGGGUCAUGGCUCACCUAGGCGACGAUCCCUAGCUGGUCUGAGAGGAUGACCAGCCACACUGGAACGGAGACACGGUCCAGACUCCGACGGGAGGCAGCAGUGGGGAAUAUUGCACAAUGGGCGCAAGCCUGAUGCAGCCAUGCCGCGUGUAUGAAGAAGGCCUUCGGGUUGUAAAGUACUUUCAGCGGGGAGGCGUUACCCGCAGAAGAAGCACCGGCUAACUCCGUGCCAGCAGCCGCGGUAAUAC
rnacentral:rRNA from 1 species